rnacentral:tRNA from 1 species
UAAGAAUUAGUUAAAUAAUAACAUUAAUAUGUCAAAUUAAAAUUAUUAAAUUAAUUAAUAUUCUUAA